rnacentral:rRNA from 1 species
CAAACUGCUCAGUAACACAUGAUCAACUUACCCUAUAGAGAAAAAUAACCUCGGGAAACUGAGGAUAAUGUUUCAUAGUUGAAUAGGCUUGGAAAAGUUUUUCGACGAAAGGGGUAAAAAAAAUGGUUUUUAUCUGCUAUAGGAUAGGAUCGUGUUCGAUUAUGGUUGUUGGUGAGGUAACGGCUCACCAAGCCUUUAACCGGUACGGGCCGUGAGAGCGGGAGCCUGGAGAUGGGCACUGAGACAAGGGCCCAGGCCCUACGGGGCGCAGCAGUCGCGAAAACUCCGCAAUACGCGAAAGCGUGACGGGGUCAUCCCGAGUGCCAUCCGCUGAGGAUGGCUUUUCCCCAGUGUAUAAAGCUGGGGGAAUAAGGAGAGGGCAAGCCUGGUGUCAGCCGCCGCGGUAAUACCAGCUCUCCGAGUGGUGGGGAUGCUUAUUGGGCCUAAAGCAUUCGUAGCUGGCUGGGCAAGUCCUCCGUUAAAUCCAGCGAUCCAAUCGUUGGACUGCGGGGGAUACUGUCCGGCUAGGGGGCGGGAGAGGCCGGCGGUAUUCUCGGGGUAGGGGUGAAAUCCUAUAAUCCCGGGAGGACCACCAGUGGCGAAGGCUGUCGGCUAGAACGCGCCCGACGGUGAGGGAUGAAAGCUGGGGGAGCGAACCGGAUUAGAUACCCGGGUAGUCCCAGCUGUAAACGAUGCAGGCUAGGUGUUGGCGCGGCUACGUGCCGCUCCGGUGCCGCAGAGAAGUCGUUAAGCCUGCCGCCUGGGAAGUACGGCCGCAAGGCUGAAACUUAAAGGAAUUGGCGGGGGAGCACCACAAGGGGUGAAGCUUGCGGUUU